UAAAGGUCUUUUCCAACCUAAGCAGUUCUGGGAUUCUAUGAUAAACAUUUCAUGCACAGCCCUGGUUCACAUCUCCUGGCUGUUGAGGGACAGUGGGUAAAGCACAUGGACUCGGUCUCUCCUCUCCCGCUCCAAAGGAGUUUUAAAUGUCUCUCAGAUGCACUUGGGCUCUGCAGGGGCUCGGGAGAGGUCGGGAGGAAUGACUCUUGGUCCAAUCUUGCUCACCACAGGGGCUAGGGGAAGGCAAAAGAGAAGGAACUCCAAGAAUAUGUGAUCACAAGAAUUUCUGUCAUCUUCUGAAAAAGAGGCAUGUUUACUUCAUAGCCCCUGUAAGAAAAAUAACCUGCCAAUGAGAAACAAGCAAGUCCAUUUAAAGCAAGAAAAAGCCUCAACACAGCGACCUAGAAAUCAAUGUCAAAA